GUUUACAAAAUUGUACAAAUGUCAAAUUCUCACGUAGGGAGAAAUUAGUAAUCUACUUUUGCAUUGAUUAUGACUACGUGCUAAAAUAGAUGUUUAUGUUAAUAAUAGCUGUAAGUGCUUUACAUUUCUUUACCAAUCAAAUGCCGUUCUAUAUAAAUAUGUUAAGUUCAUUUAGAUUUGGACUAAACCAAGACUAUGUUAAACAAAAGGACUAAACCACCUCCACUGCAACUCAUAAACCAGUACUAACCAAUAUGACUAAAUUAUUGUUUUAGUUGUACCCCAGGACUCUUCCAGGUUCGUUUAAAUCUAAAUUGUGUGAUCAAAUUGCACCAUGUAUUCCUUUAAUUUUCAGAGUAACUGUAAGUAACUAUAUUCUGAAUACCAGUAAAUAAAGGUAAUAAGAGUACUUUGCUGCAACACAGUUAAAAUUAGUACAUGUAUUUAGUUACUUCCCUACAGAGUACAAAUUUGGAAUCUGAUCAUUGUUAUUAGUGGAAAAAAACUCCAUUGUCACUCUCAACAACCACACACACACACAGAAAUGUACACAUAAACAAUGCCCCCAUCUCGCCUAUAUACGCCUAUAGAAAAUCGUGAUGCCAUCUGAUGAGCUGGCACUGCCCGGGCAUGUUUCCAGUGGGGGAUUAGGGCUGAGGAAAUGGCGCAGGACGGCUGAUACAUGACAUGGCUAAAAUUAACUGUGUUGUUGAAUAAAGAAGAGUAAAAAUAGCGUUCACUGGCACGACGUGGAAAUUGACAUAUCUCAAAAUGAAGUUUGUUUGCAUCAGUGCAGACCACAGAUCACGAGUGCUGUGGUCAGAGUAGCACUUCUACUUUGUUUACUGUGAAUGUACGAACUAAACUAGGUCACAAGCAGGUCAAAACCAGGACUAAACCGUGUCUAAACUUGGUCUCUAAACUAAGACUAAACCAGGACUAAACUUGGUCUAUAAACCAGGACUAAAGUCGGUCUAAACUUGGACUAGACCAGAACUAAACUAGGUCUAAACCAUGACUAAACCAGGGCUCAACCAGGUCUAAACAAGAAUUAAACCAGAACUAAACUAGGUCUAAACUUGUUCUAAACCCAUACUAAACCAGAUCUAAAUUUUUAAAACUUUGAAACCAGAACUAAUCUAGGUCUAAACUUGGACUAAACCAGGUCUAAACUAGGACAAAAGUAGAACUAAACUAGGUCAAAACUUGGUCUAAACCAGGACUAAACUUGGACUUAACUAGAACUUAACUAGGUCUAAAUUUGGUUUAAACUAGGACUAAACCAGGUCUAAUUUUGGACUAAACAAGAAAUAAACCAGGUCUAAACUUGGACAAAAACAGAACUUAACUAGAUCUAAACUUGGUCUAAACCAGAACUAAACCAGUUCUAAACUUGGACAAAACCAGAACUUAACUAGGUCUAAACUUAGUUUAAACCAGGACUAAACCAGUACAUGACUUGGACUAAACCAGAACUUAACUAGGUCUAGAUCUGGUCUAAACCAGUACUAAACCAGGUCUAAACUUGGGCUAAACCACACAAGGGAUUAGUAAAUCCUCAACCAGAAACUGUGAUUCAGGUAUGGUGUCUAAAUCAAACGUACACCAUAACAGUAGGUCUUAACCAGGACAAAAUAAAUUCUAAACCAACAUUAAAAGAAGAUUAAACCAGGAUUAGACCAGUAUUAUGUCAGAAAAAUACCACACCAUUAACACUACAAUUAAGAGAGUGGGAGUGGGAAAUGAGAACAAGCUCUAAUUUGGUAAAGAAGAAAUUCUAAACCAAGAAUAGACAGGGAUGAACUUUUAUUUAAACCACUUCUGCAUCUUCUGUACUAGCACUAUUAGAUCUAAUCCAGGACUGAACUGGCUCUAUAUCAAGUUUUAUACCAGAACUACAUUUGGAUUAAACCUAGACUAGAAUAUUCCAGGUUGAUAUUCCAGAUUUAAACCAAAACUAAACUAGUAAUAAACCAGAAAACUAAUGGACAAAUGGACUAAACCAGGUCAAAACUUGGAACAAUUCUAAACCAGGACAAAAAUGUUUGGAUCAGUUUGGAUUUAAAAUGAACUAGGUAAGAACUAAUCUAAAGAUUUGGCACUAAACCAUCUCUAAACGAAAACCAGGACUAAACCAAGACUAAACCAGGAUUUUAAAAAUACAUUACCAAUCCAACAAUAAAGUCAGGAAAAAGUGAACUAAAUAAAGUCUAAAUAAAUAAAUCAGUACUAAACUUAGACUAGAAUGUUCCAGGUUAAACCUAGAUUUAACCCAAAAUGAAACUAGUUCUAAAUCAGUGUUUAAACAAACAACCAGAACUAUACCAUAAUUAGGUCUAUCAAAACAAAUGGACUAAACUAGGUCAAAACCCAGAUUGGUUCCAAACCAAAACAAAAUUUAAGAUCAAUUUGGAUUUAACAUGAUCCGAACCAAAAUUAACUAGGUAAGAACGAAUUCAGAGACUAGCACAAACCAUCUCUAGACCAAAACCAGGACUAAACCAGGAUGAUGUCAGAAAAAACACAACUAGUAAAAUUUAUAAGGCCAGGACAUUACUAAGACUAAACCUAGACUAGAAUAUUCCAAAUUUAAAACUAAACCAGUACUACAGGUAAACCAGUCUUGAACUAAAUCCAAGACUAACAGGAAAAAGUAGCAUACCACUACUACUGUAACAAAAAAAAACAGGUCUAUACUAGUCCUAAACCAAGACUAUAAGCGGUUUCAACAUAUUCCACCUCACAGUCUCGCCCCUGAACGCAGCAUGUCAGAUGUGCUUCCUCUUAUUAGCAGUACAAACCCACACACUCACAGUAUCCACUUAUUGUCAGUGUAGUUUAAACCAGAGGAGCUGACGGACCUCCAGGCCAAAGCAUCGAUCCCCUCCCCGCAUCUCUCCUCUCUCUUCUGUGUAAAUCGCUUCUAGCCUCUUAGAUCCUUUGCAUUCACAUAACUGCAGGCUGAAAGCUGACUCCUGCAAUGAUGCUUGGCUUUCUCAGCUCCGGUGAGAUGAACCAGGCACUGAGUAAAAUGUAUUCAAAUGGCCACUUAGGCUGUAGUCGACAAAAAAAUAAAUCUUGGUUGACUAAAGAAAUGUUCUUUGCAUUGAUGAAUCUAUUAAAAAGGAGUAAGGCAUAGUGCUGAUCUUAAAUUAUUACAAUCUUGCACAAAAAACACUGUGAAUAUAUAGAGAAGUAGUAAUAAAUAAAACAAAAAUGAACAAAUGAAAAGGCAGAUUUAACCAAAACUCAACUCUCUCCAAAUCUGUAGUUUUGCUUAUAAAUCCUUAUAAUCAUCUCAUCUGAGGUUUGAUCUGUGGAGAGGCGACUCUGCUUACGGUAUGAAUGCAGGCAUCAGUGUAUUUAUUAUUCAGCAACUCUUGUAACUGAAUACAUACAAGAUAUAUCACUGUAAUGCCAUACUUUGGAACAUUCAAGAAAAAGCUGUAACAUAUCCACUGGGACAAAGAGAUGGCAAACCCCCACCCGAAAAGUUACGUACCACGCCUUUACAGGUUGUAUUUUUUAUCUAUUUUUCAAAGUAUUCAUGCAAGGACUUAGUAAUUAUUAGUAAAAGUAAUCGCUCUCAUUGUCAAAUUAAGAAACGCCCAUGGAGACUAUUGCGCAAGGCUACAAAGCUACAACCUCCCCUGUAAACAAAGAUUUUCAAGUAUUAAUAUUUUUUUGUAUCUCGUAUUAACUUCAGACAAAAUUGAAAUCAUAAUUGUUUUCUUUAUCCCACAAGGACCCAAAAUGUAAAAUCAAAUCUUGACUAGCAAAAUUACUACACUUGUUAUAUCAAAAAUCGCCUCAAUAUCUUAACAUUGCUUUUAGCUUGUUUAAUCGGCAGACUGAGCUCCAUUGGGAAUUCAUUGCGAAGGGGAGUUUUAAAUUGUACAACUAAGCCUUUUAUCAGCUUACAAAGUACAGUAUCUCUAUAGUUCAGCACUUGGAUACGGGCCAGCAAUUGUUAGGGACAGAAUUAAAAACUUUCCCAAGGGAGUUUUAAAAAUAUAAUUGUUUGAUUAUGAAUACACUUGUUGAAUGUGUAUGUUGCCCUAUAUACUAUAAUGAGUAGAAUAUAUUACAUAACUUGUUCACAGGAAAUGAUUACGUUUUAAAGUUUCGUUUCAGUGCCACUACAGAAGACAGAUUGUUCCAGAUGAUGCCAAGAUGUCUGUGUAUAUGUGGCUCGGAGAACAAGACAUGAGUCCUGGAGGAAGCCUGCGUCACCGUUCACCACCAGCAGACGUCAACUCCUGCGUCCUCACUCGCUUCUCGUAGCCGGGGGACACGUUUUAUCAUCCUAUUGUUUUUCCAAAGGUGUUUAUAGAGGAGCAGAAGUCGGGACUCUGAGUUAAAGUUUUUAAUGAGUCUUUCAGCAGGACACCUCCUCGGAGCAGAUGUGCCUCCCCUGGAAGCUGGUUUCAGAUGGUGGCGUAGAGUCAUGUCAUCCAUCUAGCACCAUUUGAAAUCAGUGUUCUUGGGGCCAGAGCUUUGUUUCACAGCAACAGUGGAGACACAACUGGAGGAGAGCAAAGACGGGGAAAAAUUUAGCUAAAAUUUAACUAGUAAGAUUGUAUUUCCUUCCUCAUUCAUACUUUUAGUUCUUUGUGAAAGCCUGUGUUUACAUUCACACCGUAAUCUGAUUAUAAUGUGAUUUCUGGACCGUUAAGAUUAUCUAAGUGACACGCAAACUGCAAAAUGUGAUUAAUAAGUGAGUAAUAAGAAGGGCCAUGCUUUGCUGUUUAUACCAGAGUCCUGCACCGGGUCGGGGAUCUGCAAAUAGUUGCUGAAAUGGACGGGUUUUAACAUUUUGGAAUUUUACAGGCGGGUAUGCGGGCGGGUAGUGAUUACACACGGGCGGGUCAGGACUAAAUCUGGACUAAACCAGGACUAAACCAGGACUACACCAGGACUACACCAGGACUACAUAAGGUCUAAACCAGGUCUAAACCAGGACUAACCCAGGACUAAAACCAGGACUAAACCAGGUCUAUACCAGGACUAUACAGGACAUGAGAGAGAGCAGGGUGUCCACAAAAUGCGGGCGCGGUUGUAUUUAGCCCUGUGGGGCGUGGAGCUCUGUGCCAGUCCUUUCACCCACAGUCGCCCAACGGUCUACGCAGGUGCCCGUCCCGACAGUCAGUCCUAGUUUAGUCCUGGUUCAGUCCUACUUCAGUCCUGGUUUAGUCCUCCUGGUUCAGUCCUAGGUUAAUCCUGGUUUAGUCCUGGUUGAGUCCGUGGCAGGUGCGCCGCAAAAGUGCAGCAUCUCAAUAGAUGUUUCUUCUGCUCAGGAACUAAUACCUGUGAAGUGAUGACGGAUUUUUGACAUUAGAGUCGCGUCUGUGAAUUUGUAUUCGUAAUGAAGAAAGUGUAAUCGUUUCAUUUCGUGACUGUAAUUCUUUUUUUGUCACUUAAUUUUUAUGAAGUAUUUUAUACAAUAACAAAACAGGCACAGCAAGGAAUUUAACAUACAUUUUAGAUGGGAAAAAUAUAUAUAUAAUAUAUAUAUAAUACACACACACACACACACACAUAUAUAUAUAUAUAUAUAGAUAGAUAGAUAUAUAGAUAGAUAGAUAUAUAUAUACACAUACACAUCACAUACACAUAUAUACACAUCACUCAGACAUAUUACCCUGAAAUGCUAUUGUUUUAUGGGUACUUAGCUGGAGCAGUACUAACUUAACUAAACUUCACUGCGAUAUUUAGACCAUUUAGCCCAUCUUGCAUAAUAAACAUCAGCUUUAAGCCUUAGCAUGUAUGUCAGAUGUUCCAUUUUAUGAGUUUCUUCAAUCAUUUUUAACCAGUCUUCUAGCAUAGGAGGAUCUGGUUGAAGCCAUUUACGUGUAAUUGCCUUUUUCAUGAUUGUAAUUCUUAAAGUCGUAACUUUUCAAUUUGUAUUCUGAUGGAUGCUUCAGUUAGAAUGCUUUUAAUCUGUGUGGGAUUUAUCACGGGUCUAGGUGGGUGUGGAUUUAACUUUGAUAUAUUCAUGGGUCCAAAAAUGGACCCGUGCAGGACUCUGAUUUAUACAUGCCAAUUUUGUAGUCUUAUAAGUCAACAGAAAUGUAACUGUAAACAGAUUGAGUGUGCUGUCAGACAAUCACAGCCCCUCAUCUUUGACUUUCAACCAAUUAUCUCUCAAGCCAUCUCUGUUAGUAUAAAUAUACUACGAGCACAUCUCAUUUCACUUUCCUCGCUUCCUUCUCCUUGAUUCCUCUCCAUGAUCCUCCAUUUUUCAGCUGUCAAUCAAAUGUGUCGUAUUAAGUAAUGUCCCAAAGAAAACCAAGGAUUGAAGGAGCAAACAUGAGAUAAAAUUUGAAAUUUGUGUAAUUAGAAUGAGAAAAUAUAACUUGAUGAUUUUGUAGUGGCAACAUGCAGACUUACUAGACAAACUUACAAGAAGAUAACCCAAAACUUUGUGCUAUGACACUUAAAAUACAACAUACAACAUAAUUAAAAGCAUUGUGUUUCAAUCAUCAGUAUUAUCCAGCAUGUUUGUGUUUUGUAUUUUAUUGUUACCCUAAUAUUACUAGCAUUGUUAUGUUGUGGGGUCUAAGCACCAAAGUUCAUUCAUUCAUUAACUUUUCUUUGCAUCUCAUUCAUUUGUCUGUGCCCAAGUCUCUCCAGGUUGAAAUGAUGACCUUUCCCAACAGAAGAACUCACUUCCAGAAGUGUCCUCUCUCCAAGGUUGACCGAUUUCUCUUGGGGCUUGAGUUUUUAAAAAUUUCUAGCACCAUUUGAAAUCGGUUACAAUGAAGGACAGUAUCAGCUCACAAAGGGGGAUGGAUGUCUCUGUCAACCUGUGCAACAAGUCUAACUACACUGUUUUAUUGUUAGGGCUGAGUUCAGUGGUGGAAUGUAACAAAGUAAAAGUAGUAAAGUACUGUAUUUACUUAAGGAGAUUUUAAAGUGGUUACUUUUUACUUUUACUUCACUACAUUGGAGAACAGAUAUUUGUACUUUCUCCUCCAUUACAUUUUUUAACUGAAAAUUAAACGUAUUUUUAUGAUUGUCUGAGACCUGCUGAGGUCUCACAUUUGUAGUUUGAACAAAUAAAAAUACACACACACACAAAACAGCAAAGCAAAAAAAAAUUUGAUUCUAUUGUUUUUAUUGAACUAAAUUCAAAUACAAAGCUUUAUCAACAUCUCUACAUUUGAAGUGUUACUAGAUCUCAAAACCUGUGUGAAAUAAUUUCACUGUUUACCCCUUAAGUACUUUUUUAAACAGGUACUUUACCAAAGUGGUUUUUUUCAUGUGAUUUUUUUUUUUUUUUUUUUUUUUUUUGCUCUGGGAUCUACUUUUUGAAAGAAAUAUCCAAACUUAUGAAAUUUGGGAACUGGCUCCACAAACUUGACAUAUUAAUCGUUAAGCUUUAAGUUUUUUCAACUGACAAUGGUCACAUCUUUGGGGUUGAAUAAUGGUGCCACCUUCUGAAGCUACAGAGAAAAAAUAAUUUUGUUAUAUGUGGACAGGCCCAGUAAUUACAGAGAUAUGAACAAUCUCUUGUUAAUAUUCUGUAGUCUAGAUAUUGGUAAUAAAUUAUUUAAAUUACUGAUCUGUUUAUCUCAACUGUUUAAAUGUUUAACUCAACUCAAGGUACUUUGUAUCAGUUUCCACUAGAUGGCGCCAUUUGCAUUAAGACUACAUGUGCUUCAUGACUAAUUUUCCGCCUACACACAGUCAUUGAUUUGAUUGUGAAGUUGUACACACUUAUCUUUCACAAAGGUUUCGUUUUCUGGGCAUAUAAUCUAUGUAGACAGUAACGACUUAUAAAUCAUCAAAUAAAAAUGAAUGAAAAUGA